CGGCAGCGGAGCGCGGUGCGGGCACAGCGGGAAGGAGCCCUGGAGUCUCUGAGGAGGGGGCUCCGCUCCUCCAGGACCCUCCUGCUUUGUGAGAAGUGAGGACUCUCAUCUCAAGAGAAGGUAAGAGUUUAAAUGCCUUCUCAAAUCUGGGCCGUCAUGACAAACAUAUUAUUAUGUUUCCUGUGUAGGCCUAUUUUCCACUGCAUUUGGAAGGCAACAAAUGCCACGGGUACUAUACAAUAUAAACAAUUUAGAACGAUUUAUAUAACCUGUAAUUAUAAAGAUUUAAGCUUAUGCUUCUUUGCAGUAUCAAUUACUGGCUUAAGAAUACUUUUUCCUAAAACUAUGAAAGAUUUUAUGAUUCUGUAGGUUUUAUAUUUCCUUAAAAAUGAUCAGUUAUGGAGAAGAGAAGACACAUUCAGGACACUUGGGAGCAGAAGACUUGUAGACUCACUGUCACAGAAAGCUGAGAAAACAGUUGAGUCUGAAGGAAGCUGCUGAGUUGAAGUCCCAGUACCUUGCACGUGUGCCAGUGCUCAAGGAAGAUGGUAAUACUUAACUCUUGCAGAGUUCACUGGAUCUUCAAAGACAUAUAGAAAUGUUGCAUGAUUUCCGUGGUACAGAUUGAAAACUAGCCCACCAAUGGGUUUGGCUUGGUCUUUCUUCUUGGUUUUAUUUUGAUACCAGGAAAAUGAGCUUUGGGUGCCCGAGCACUGGAACAGGUUACCUAGAGAGAGUGUGGAGUCUCCCUCACUGCAGAUAUUCCAGAACCAUCUGGACACAGUCCUGUGCCAUGUGCUCUGGGAUGACCCUGCAGGAGCAGAGAGGUGGGACCAGAUGCCCCACUGUGGUCCCCUCCAACCUGACCCAUUCUGUGACUCCGUGACCUGAUCCCUACACAUAAACUGCUUCCUUGGUUUAAAAUAAAACAAAUUCCUAAUGGUGAUACUGUAUUUCCUGUAUUUCACAGAGAGCCAUCUAGAAAAACUCUACAGGUCCUAUUUCAUAUCAUCCUAAACACGUGGAGCUGUAUUCUUUAAAAUAACAUGUGUGAAGACCAUUGUUCCUACAUGCAAAGGAGAGAAAGUUUUAAUUGCAUGUGAGAUGCCAUCAGAACAUCAAGAGACCAAAUGCCAUGGAACUACCCUGUUUGUAUCAGCAGGGCUGGCACCUUGUUCUCUCUGCUUUUCCUGUACAGUGAGGCAGUUUGCUCUCCUGUGUGUAACAGGCCUUGCUAACUGGCAUCAGGAUGUGCAAGACAGACAGGAAAAGAGAGACAAGGAACCAAUCCUAGUAAAGCUUUAAAAAGAAUAGUUUUCCACUGUUAGAGGUGUGAAUCUUGCUAAAUGGAUUUCAACUCCUAAAAUAUACACAGCAUCCAGUCAUAGGUGACCUCAGAAUUAGCAGUCAAAAGGUAACAGAGUAGUUCAUUUCUCUGCCUCCUCCUUUGGAAGCUUUCUAGUUUGAAAUCUCAGUUACAGCUUUCACUGAUUUGCCUUUCACAAUCUGCAGAAUUAAAUAGACAUCUUCUCAAACAGCCAUAUUACAGUGAUCUGGGAAGUCUUUCAGAUGGUAGGUACUAAAUAUAGUUUUACCUUUUUAUGGUGUAAAUCAGCACGUUCUAAUUGUGUCUCAGUUACUUUACCAUAAGUAUUUUCAUCUAAAUUAUGUUGAAUGGUAAAAAUUUUGUCUAGGUUUGUUUUUUGACUAUGGUACCCCAAAAAUAGAAGUAAUAUGCUGUUGCAUACAAAAUUUUAUGCUGAACAUAUUCAGAUUAUCUUUUAAAAUAAACAGCUUGUGCAUACUUGACGUUUUUACUUCACAGAGAAAACCAGUACUACAUACACAGAGUAUUCUGAAUUUUAUGUGUGAUCUGCAUGUAGGAUCUGAAUGCUCAACCUUAAUGUUGAUUUGAUAGUGCUGUGAGAAUCCCAACAACUUAAUUUCCUAAUUCUGUUUGGAAUUCUUUAAUGCCACAUUAAUGUUUCAAUGUUGCUCUAGUUACUUCCUGUCUCAGAAAGAAGAAAAGAUAAACCCUUAUUCAUUUAUGCACCAUGUAAUCCCUAGGAAGGAUUUGCCAGCAACAGAUAAUCUUUGCUUGUGUUCAAGGCUUAUUUAGAAUGGAGGGUCAGGGGGAGGCAUACCCCAACUUAAUUACAUAAGCAAGCCUAAUUUUUAUUCUGUAAAAUACUAUAUUGAAUUUUUGUUUAGAUUUGUUCUUUCUGACAGCCACCAAAAAACUACCUGCAUAGUUUGUAUUAAAAAAAACAACAGUCAAUACUGUCUAUCACUCUUCCAAAUCCAUGGACAUUCAAGGAUACUUGUGUGCUGAGAUGCUGCUGAACAUCCAUUUUCUUCAAUUCCCAUCAAGGAGUCUUUUUCAUUUACUUUGUUUUGUUGAAGCAACAAAUAGUUUGUCUAUGGAUGUGUGCAAGCAUGUUUUCCAUGUGCAUGCAAUAAAGAAGAAUUAAAACGUAAA